rnacentral:rRNA from 1 species
UACGUAGGUGGCAAGCGUUGUCCGGAUUUAUUGGGUUUAAAGGGUGCGUAGGCGGCCCUGUAAGUCAGUGGAAAUACUCCAGCUUAACUGGAGGGGUGCCAUUGAUACUGCAGGGCUUGAGUGGAGUCGAAGUAGGCGGAAUUGACGGUGUAGCGGUGAAAUGCUUAGAUAUCGUCAAGAACACCGAUAGUGAAGACAGCUUACUAGGCUUCUACUGACGCUGAGGCACGAAAGUGUGGGGAUCAAACAGG